rnacentral:rRNA from 1 species
GAUGAACGCUGGCGGCGUGCCUAAUACAUGCAAGUCGAGCGAACGGACGAGAAGCUUGCUUUUCUGAUGUUAGCGGCGGACGGGUGAGUAACACGUGGAUAACCUAUCUAUAAGACUGGGAUAACUUCGGGAAACCGGAGCUAAUACCGGAUAAUAUUUUGAACCGCAUGGUUCAAAAGUGAAAGACGGUCUUGCUGUCACUUAUAGAUGGAUCCGCGCUGCAUUAGCUAGUUGGUAAGGUAACGGCUUACCAAGGCAACGAUGCAUAGCCGACCUGAGAGGGUGAUCGGCCACACUGGAACUGAGACACGGUCCAGACUCCUACGGGAGGCAGCAGUAGGGAAUCUUCCGCAAUGGGCGAAAGCCUGACGGAGCAACGCCGCGUGAGUGAUGAAGGUCUUCGGAUCGUAAAACUCUGUUAUUAGGGAAGAACAUAUGUGUAAGUAACUGUGCACAUCUUGACGGUACCUAAUCAGAAAGCCACGGCUAACUACGUG